rnacentral:rRNA from 1 species
AGAGUUUGAUCCUGGCUCAGGAUGAACGCUAGCGGCAGGCUUAAUACAUGCAAGUCGAACGGGAUUCGGGGUAGCAAUACUUUGAUGAGAGUGGCGCACGGGUGCGUAACGCGUAUGCAACCUACCUUUAACAGGGGAAUAGCCCCGAGAAAUCGGGAUUAAUACUCCGUAACAUUGCGGUGUGGCAUCACACUGCACUUAAAGCUGAGGCGGUUAAAGAUGGGCAUGCGUGACAUUAGCUAGUUGGUGAGGUAACGGCUCACCAAGGCAACGAUGUCUAGGGGUCCUGAGAGGGUUAUCCCCCACACUGGUACUGAGACACGGACCAGACUCCUACGGGAGGCAGCAGUAAGGAAUAUUGGUCAAUGGGCGCAAGCCUGAACCAGCCAUGCCGCGUGCAGGAAGACGGCCCUAUGGGUUGUAAACUGCUUUUGUCAGGGAAUAAACCCCCGCUCGUGAGCGGGGCUGAAAGUACCUGAAGAAUAAGCAUCGGCUAACUCCGUGCCAGCAGCCGCGGUAAUACGGAGGAUGCAAGCGUUAUCCGGAUUCAUUGGGUUUAAAGGGUGCGCAGGCGGAUUGGUAAGUCAGGGGUGAAAUCCCACAGCUCAACUGUGGAACUGCCUUUGAUACUGUCAGUCUAGAGUAUAGUUGAAGUUGGCGGAAUGUGUCAUGUAGCGGUGAAAUGCUUAGAUAUGACACAGAACACCGAUCGCGAAGGCAGCUAGCUAAGCUAUAACUGACGCUCAUGCACGAAAGCGUGGGGAUCAAACAGGAUUAGAUACCCUGGUAGUCCACGCUGUAAACGAUGAUUACUCGAUGUUGG